AGGUCCCGCCUGCCCUGUGACUAUAUGUUUAACGGCCGCGGUAUUUUGACCGUGCGAAGGUAGCGCAAUCACUUGUCUUUUAAAUGGAGACCUGUAUGAAAGGCAUCACGAGGGCUUAGCUGUCUCCCCUUUAAAGUCAAUGAAAUUGAUCUCCCCGUGCAGAAGCGGGGAUAUACUCGUAAGACGAGAAGACCCUAUGGAGCUUAAGAUAAAAGGCGAGUCAUGUCAAACACCCCCUCAAAGGAAAUGAACGAAAUGAUACCCCGCUGGAAUGUCUUCGGUUGGGGCGACCGCGGGGAAAGACAAAACCCCCACAUGGACCAGGGCCACUAUAGCCCUAAAACCUAGACCCACAGGUCAAGUCAACAGUAAAUCUGACCACCAAAGAGCCGGCAAUGCCGAUCAACGGACCGAGUUACCCUAGGGAUAACAGCGCAAUCCCCUCCCAGAGCCCUUAUCGACGAGGGGGUUUACGACCUCGAUGUUGGAUCAGGACAUCCUAAUGGUGCAGCCGCUAUUAAGGGUUCGUUUGUUCAACGAUUAAAGUCCUA
rnacentral:rRNA from 1 species